CAACGAUUCAGCAAAAUUGAUUUGUCACAGGCCUACCUAUGGAUGGAAGUUGAGGGAGAGUCUAAGGCAUACCUCACAAUCAACACACAAAUGGUGGCUCCUGAGGUACUAACAAGAGCCGAGCCAGCUCUUCAAAGUUCACUUCAAAGCAGACUCAGUUUCCAGCUGGCCUUUGCUAAAUCUACCUAAUCCCAGACUACAAUUAGCAACAAUAUUUCUCUACUUACGUUCCAGUCUAUAGUAACAAAGAACAGGUGCCGUUUAAUUUCUUCAACUCCAUCGA